CUAAAGGCUCUUUUAAGAGCCACCACUUAACACAAAAGAGCUGUC
rfam:Colius striatus contig56563, whole genome shotgun sequence.